UUGGGAGCUCUCCCAUAUGUCGACCUGCAGGCGGCCGCGAAUUCACUAGUGAUUCGUAUUACCGCGGCUGCUGGCACGAAGUUAGCCGUUGCUUAUUCCUCAGGUACCGUCGGGUGUCUUCCCUGAGAAAAGAGGUUUACGACCCGAAGGCCUUCAUCCCUCACGCGGCGUGGCUGCGUCAGAGUUUCCUCCAUUGCGCAAAAUUCCUAACUGCUGCCUCCCGUAGGAGUCUGGGCCGUGUCUCAAUCCCAGUCUGGCUGGCCAUCCUCUCAGACCAGCUACGGAUCGAAGCCUUGGUAUGCCGUUACCACACCAACUAGCUAAUCCGCCGCAGGCCCCUCCCAAAGCGUCUUGCGACUUUAAGCACCGAAAUGAAUCGGUGGUCACAUCCGGUAUUAGCAACUCUUUCGAGUUGUUAUCCCAAACUUCGGGGCAGGUCACCUACGUGUUACUCAGCCGUUCGCCACUCACUUCAGUCCUUGCGGACUGAAGUCCGUUCGACUUGCAUGUUUUAUGCACGCCGCCAGCGUUUGUCCUGAGCCAUGAUCAAACUCUAAUCGAAUUCCCGCGGCCGCCAUGGCGGCCGGGAGCAUGCGACGUCG
rnacentral:rRNA from 1 species